AUUGAACGCUGGCGGCGUGCUUAACACAUGCAAGUCGAUCGGUAACAGGUGUAGCAAUACAUGCUGACGAGAGGCGGACGGGUGAGGAAUAUUUGGGAAUCUGCCCAUCGGCGGGGGACAACCCGGGGAAACCCGGGCUAAUACCGCAUACGCUCUACGGAGGAAAGCCGGGGACCGCAAGGCCCGGCACUGAUGGGUGAGCCCAAAUCGGAUUAGCUAGUUGGCGGGGUAACGGCCCACCAAGGCGACGAUCCGUAGCUGGUCUGAGAGGACGAUCAGCCACACCGGAACUGAGACACGGUCCGGACUCCUACGGGAGGCAGCAGUGGGGAAUAUUGGACAAUGGGGGAAACCCUGAUCCAGCGACGCCGCGUGGGUGAAGAAGGCCUGCGGGUUGUAAAGCCCUUUCGGUAGGGACGAAAGCUCUUGCUCUAAUAAUGCAAGAGGUUGACUUAACCUACAUAAGAAGCACCGGCUAACUCUGUGCCAGCCGCCGCAGUAA
rnacentral:rRNA from 1 species